GGCACCCAGCACGCGCCUAGCCCGCCACCAAGAUGCAGAAGAGGAAGGUCAGGUCUGCCGAAGGUGCGGGGAAGGAAGAGCCCAAGAGGAGGUCGGCGCGGUUGUCAGCUAAACCUGCUCCUGCGAAAGUGGAAACGAAGCCAAAAAAGGCAGCAGCAAGGGUUAAAUCUUCAGACAAAAAAGUGCAAACGAAAGGGAAAAGAGGAGCAAAGGGAAAGCAGGCUGAAGUGGCCAACCAAGAAACUAAAGAAGAUUUACCAGCAGAAAACGGAGAAACUAAAACCGAGGAGAAUCCAGCCGCUGACGAAGCAGGAGAGAAAGAAGCCAAGUCUGAUUAAUGUCAUAUACCAUGUCUUAUCAGUGGUCCCUGUCUCCCUUCUUGUACAAUCCAGAGGAAUAAUUUUAUCAACUAUUUUGUAAAUGCAAGUUUUUUAGUAGCUCUAGAAACAUUUUUAAGAAGGAGGGAAUCCCACCUCAUCCCAUUUUUUAAGUGUAAAUGCUUUAAGAGGUGAAAUCAUUUGCUGGUUGUUUAUUUUUUGGUACAACCAGAAAAUAGUGUGGGAUGUUGAAUUAAUGGGAGGCUUUGACUGUCUUGGGUGUGAGCUUAACAUUCCAUAGAUGGGGGUUAGUUUUUAUAUCCUGUAAUACAAAGCAUACUAAAUGGCAAU